UACGUAGGGGGCAAGCGUUGUCCGGAUUUAUUGGGCGUAAAGAGCGUGUAGGCGGCCAUGCAGGUCCGUUGUGAAAACUCGAGGCUCAACCUCGAGACGCCGGUGGAAACCGUCUGGCUAGAGUCCGGAAGAGGAGAGUGGAAUUCCUGGUGUAGCGGUGAAAUGCGUAGAUAUCAGGAGGAACACCGGUGGCGAAGGCGGCUACCUGGACAGAAACUGACGCUGAGGCGCGAAAGCUAGGGGAGCAAACAGG
rnacentral:rRNA from 1 species